ACUGCUCAGUAACACGUGGACAACCUACCCUUAGGUCGGGGAUAAACCCGGGAAACUGGGUAUAAUACCCGAUAGAUCUCGACUGCUGGAAUGCAUCGAGAUCGAAAGCUCCGGCGCCUAAGGAUGGGUCUGCGGCCUAUCAGGUAGUAGUGGGUGUAAUGUACCUACUAGCCUACGACGGGUACGGGUCGUGAGAGCGAGAGCCCGGAGAUGGAUUCUGAGACACGAAUCCAGGCCCUACGGGGUGCAGCAGGCGCGAAAACUUUACAAUGCUGGAAACAGCGAUAGGGGGACUUUGAGUGCCAGGAUACAAUUCUGGCUGUCGUGAUGCCUAAAAAGCAUUGCAUAGCAAGGGCCGGGCAAGACCGGUGCCAGCCGCCGCGGUAACACCGGCGGCUCGAGUGGUAACCGCUAUUAUUGGGUCUAAAGGGUCUGUAGCCGGCUGGAUAAGUCUCUUGGGAAAUCCGAUAGCUUAACUAUCGGGCUUCCAGGGGAUACUGUCUGGCUCGAGACCGGGAGAGGUGAGAGGUACUUCAUGGGUAGGGGUGAAAUCUUGUAAUCCUUGAAGGACCACCAGUGGCGAAGGCGUCUCACCAGAACGGAUCUGACGGCAAGGGACGAAAGCUAGGGGCACGAACCGGAUUAGAUACCCGGGUAGUCCUAGCCGUAAACGAUACUCGCUAGGUGUCGGCCACGGUGCGACCGUGGUCGGUGCCGUAGGGAAGCCGUGAAGCGAGCCACCUGGGAAGUACGGCCGCAAGGCUGAAACUUAAAGGAAUUGGCGGGGGAGCA
rnacentral:rRNA from 1 species